rnacentral:tRNA from 1 species
CAGAGGGUAGUUUAAGUAUAAAAUAUUAAUUUUGGGGAUUAGUGAAAAGAAUUUUUCUUUCCUCUGA